UUUGACGCUAAUAGUCUAUUUAAUAUCUUUCUCCGAAACGGAUGUAUUAUUCUAUACUGUGGCUUUAUUGUGUCAAUUUAUUCGAUCGAUUUCAUGUGAAGAAUCACGGCCUCUUCGCGUGUUUCUUUCUGCAUAUCUUUACCAAGACAAUGUACGGGGAACAUGAGGGAAGGAGAGACAUUCUGGAAACAUCCACCACGUGGUCGACGCCUAAUACUGUUGAGAAACCGUUAAUUACGCAGCCGAAUAUACGGUUCACUUUGAUACCAUUCAUGCGACAAGCGUAACCCUUAAAGGAUAGGGUUAUACCCUCUCGGAGGAAAAAAAAAGAUUGCUGUUGCUUCUCGCGCGAGCUGGAGAGAAUGCAACGCGUGCACGCCGCGCGCGUGGUGAACAAGUGCGAAAAAGUAAGAGGCCACGCGUUCGCGCACACGCGUGUACGUACACACACACUCGUUCUCUCUUUUCUUUCUCUUUCUCUCCCUCGAUGUACUCUCUAUAUAUCUUUCGGAGGACUUUCACUUGCCCUCCGCUUUGGCGUACAUCGCCGAGUGCCGAGUUUACGAGCACGUGAGGCGGCAUCCGAGCAUCCUCCUCUUCUCUCCGCCUCCGCCUCUUCACCUAGAUGAAUGCACCGAUGCAGCGACGAAUUCAAACCUACGAUAACAAGCUUAAAUUACAAAGGAAAUAGACCAGCUGAAAUAAAUAAUAAUGAAAAUGUUAGAAAAGUAAUGUUUUGGAACGAAAUC